UACAGAGGUCUCAAGCGUUGUUCGGAUUCAUUGGGCGUAAAGGGUGCGUAGGUGGCGUCGUAAGUCAGGUGUGAAAUCUCGGGGCUCAACCCCGAAACUGCACUUGAUACUGCGAUGCUCGAGUACUGGAGAGGAGAUUGGAAUUUACGGUGUAGCGGUGAAAUGCGUAGAUAUCGUAAGGAAGACCAGUGGCGAAGGCGGGUCUCUGGACAGUUCCUGACGCUGAGGCACGAAGGCCAGGGGAGCAAACGGG
rnacentral:rRNA from 1 species